UGACCUCAAAUCAGGUAGGACUACCCGCUGAACUUAAGCAUAUCAAUAAGCGGAGGAAAAGAAACUAACAAGGAUUCCCCUAGUAACUGCGAGUGAAGCGGGAAGAGCUCAAAUUUUGAAUCUGGCGGUCCUUGCGGCCGUCCGAGUUGUAAUCUAGAGAAGCGUUUUCCGCGCUGGACCGUGUACAAGUCUCCUGGAAGGGAGCGUCGUAGAGGGUGAGAAUCCCGUCUUUGACACGGACUACCAGGGCUAUGUGAUGCGCUCUCGACGAGUCGAGUUGUUUGGGAAUGCAGCUCAAAUCGGGUGGUAAAUUCCAUCUAAAGCUAAAUACAGGCGAGAGACCGAUAGCGAACAAGUACCGUGAGGGAAAGAUGAAAAGAACUUUGGAAAGAGAGUUAAACAGUACGUGAAAUUGCUGAAAGGGAAACGCUUGAUGUCAGUCGCGUCGGCCGGGGAUCAACCUUGCUUGAUUGCUUGGUGUACUUCCUGGUCGACGGGUCAGCAUCAGUUUCGAUCGCCGUACAAGGGCGGAGGGAAUGUGGCACUCUUCGCGGAGUGUGUUAUAGCCUUUUGUCGUAUGCGGUGC
rnacentral:rRNA from 1 species